GAUGAACGCUGGCGGCGCGCCUAACACAUGCAAGUCGAACGAUUAAAGCACCUUCGGGUGUGUAUAAAGUGGUGAACGGCUGAGUAACACGUGGGCAACCUGCCCCUUUCAUUGGGAUAGCCACGGGAAACCGUUGAUAAUACCGAAUACUUCGAGACUUCCGCAUGGAAGACUCGAGUAAGCUACGGCUGAGAGGUAUGGUCCCGCGGCCUGUUCGCUUGUUGGUGGGGUAACGGCCUACCAAGGCAAUGAUGGGUAGCUGGGUUGAGAGACCGACCAGACAGAUUGGGAAGGAGACACGGCCCAGACUCCUACGGGAGGCAGGAGUGGGGAAGGUUACACAAUGGGAGAGAGGCAGAUGCAGCGACGCCGCGUGCGGGAUGAAGGCCUUCGGGUUGUAAACCGCUUUCAGCAGGGACGAGGCGAAAGUGACGGUACCGGCAGAAGAAGCCCCGGCUAACUACGUG
rnacentral:rRNA from 1 species